rnacentral:rRNA from 1 species
UCCUGGCUCAGAUUGAACGCUGGCGGCAUGCCUUACACAUGCAAGUCGAACAAGGUAACAGGUCUUCGGAUGCUGACGAGUGGCGAACGGGUGAGUAAUACAUCGGAACGUGCCCGAUCGUGGGGGAUAACGAAGCGAAAGCUUUGCUAAUACCGCAUACGAUCUACGGAUGAAAGCGGGGGAUCUUCGGACCUCGCGCGGACGGAGCGGCCGAUGGCAGAUUAGGUAGUUGGUGGGAUAAAAGCUUACCAAGCCGACGAUCUGUAGCUGGUCUGAGAGGAUGAUCAGCCACACUGGGACUGAGACACGGCCCAGACUCCUACGGGAGGCAGCAGUGGGGAAUUUUGGACAAUGGGCGCAAGCCUGAUCCAGCCAUGCCGCGUGCAGGAUGAAGGCCUUCGGGUUGUAAACUGCUUUUGUACGGAACGAAAAGGUGCCUUCUAAUAAAGGGCGCUCAUGACGGUACCGUAAGAAUAAGCACCGGCUAACUACGUGCCAGCAGCCGCGGUAAUACGUAGGGUGCGAGCGUUAAUCGGAAUUACUGGGCGUAAAGCGUGCGCAGGCGGUUUUGUAAGACAGAGGUGAAAUCCCCGGGCUCAACCUGGGAACUGCCUUUGUGACUGCAAGGCUGGAGUGCGGCAGAGGGGGAUGGAAUUCCGCGUGUAGCAGUGAAAUGCGUAGAUAUGCGGAGGAACACCGAUGGCGAAGGCAAUCCCCUGGGCCUGCACUACGCUCU